CCUUAUUAUUCUGAUGAUUCUUCCUGUUAUUUGUGUAGCUGAGCCAAUGUUUCCAGGCAUUUCAUGAAGUUACUCAGAAAGCUCAACUGGCACAUGAGUUAUUAUAAACUGUAAUGUUAAUCUCAAUUACACUACAGCUUCAUCAUUUACACUUAAUUUAAUGUCUCUUAACAUUAAGACAUUAAGAAAAUGCAUGAAAUGACUUUUUUUUUUUUUUUCAGUACAAAGUGUUUCAUAUAUGUAUUAUUAUACCUGCUAAUUUAUUAUAAUCUCUACAAAAAAAAGUUUAAGAGUUUUCCAAUCAGAACUCUAUUAUCAGCAAAAUUCCACAGGAAUAACAGGAAUAGCAAAAAAAAAUAUUUUGUCCACUCCUUUUGAUUAUUUUUAAUAAUUUUUGUACAACAUAAAACCUAGUGAGUGAUGUAGUGUAAAUUAGGUUACUUAGAGCAGGUUCUUUCUCAAGUAUAUAUUCAGGAAUGCUAUUGACUUUUGCAACCUUGCAAAAAAGAAUCCUCAGCACAAUGAUUCACUUUACAGUUCACCAUUUAAUCUUAUUUCUCUCAUGCAAAGAUAAGAUUAUUCAAAGACUUUUCAGCAUAAAGGCAAGAAAGAGACUUCUCUUUCAGAAACUAUAGUUUUCUAAGAGGAUCCUUUUACUUAGUAUUACAGCUGCAUAGUUAAUUCGAAUACCUUCCUAUUACCCAUGACCAUCCCACACGUGGUUACAGUUAGCCAGUAUAUGAGUUAUUCUGCUUCCUUUAAUAGCAAUUGGGAAAAACACAGGAAAAUAAUAUUUACAUAUAAUAAUAAACAUAUAUUCUUGUAACUGAAAUCAUUUCAUGCCAUUUAAGGUGCCAGCAACUGGUGGGAGCAGUAAAAGAAGAUAAUUGAAAGCUACUGGCUGCAAUACUCAUGCCAGAUUAAAAAAAAAAAAAAAAAAAAAAA